GAUGAAGAACGUAGCGAAAUGCGAUAAGUAAUGUGAAUUGCAGAAUUCAGUGAAUCAUCGAAUCUUUGAACGCACAUUGCGCCCCCUGGUAUUCCGGGGGGCAUGCCUGUUCGAGCGUCAUUUCACCACUCAAGCCUCGCUUGGUAUUGGGCAACGCGGUCCGCCGCGUGCCUCAAAUCGACCGGCUGGGUCUUCUGUCCCCUAAGCGUUGUGGAAACUAUUCGCUAAAGGGUGUUCGGGAGGCUACGCCGUAAAACAACCCCAUUUCUAAGGUUGACCUCGGAUCAGGUAGGGAUACCCGCUGAACUUAAGCAUAUCAAUAAGCGGACGA
rnacentral:misc_RNA from 1 species